AAACUAACAAGGAUUCCCCUAGUAGCGGCGAGCGAAGCGGGAAAAGCUCAAAUUUGUAAUCUGGCGUCUACGACGUCCGAGUUGUAAUCUCGAGAAGUGUUUUCCGUGAUAGACCGCAUACAAGUCUCUUGGAACAGAGCGUCAUAGUGGUGAGAACCCAGUACACGAUGCGGAUGCCUAUUACUUUGUGAUACACUUUCGAAGAGUCGAGUUGUUUGGGAAUGCAGCUCAAAUUGGGUGGUAAAUUCCAUCUAAAGCUAAAUAUUGGCGAGAGACCGAUAGCGAACAAGUACCGUGAGGGAAAGAUGAAAAGCACUUUGGAAAGAGAGUUAACAGUACGUGAAAUUGUUGGAAGGGAAACACAUGCAGCCAGACUUGCUAUUCGGGGCAACUCGAUUGGCAGGCCCGCAUCAGUUUUUCGGGGCGGAAAAUCAUAGAGAGAAGGUAGCAAUUUCGGUUGUGUUAUAGCUCUUUAUUGGAUUCGCCCUGGGGGACUGAGGAACGCAGCGUGCUUUUAGCAUAAGCUUCGGCUUAUCCACGCUUAGGAUGCGGGUGUAAUGGCUGUAUAUGAC
rnacentral:rRNA from 1 species